UACGGAGGGUGCGAGCGUUGUUCGGAAUUACUGGGCGUAAAGCGCGUGCAGGCGGUCGAUUAAGUCCGGUGUGAAAGCCCGGGGCUCACCCCCGGAAGUGCGCUGGAAACUAAUCAACUAGAGUACGGGAGAGGGAAGUGGAAUUCCUGGUGUAGCGGUGAAAUGCGUAGAUAUCAGGAGGAACACCGGCGGCGAAGGCGGCUUCCUGGACCGAUACUGACGCUGAGGAGCGAAAGCGUGGGGAGCGAACAGG
rnacentral:rRNA from 1 species